AUGAUGAAACCGGUAAAAAGGAGAUGUACUUAAUAGUAUUAGAAAAUAAUAUGAAAUUAACUAAGUUAAUUAAAAUUCAAAGUAGAUAUGUGAUUAUGACAAUAUUUGCUUAUUUCUUGGCAAAGUCACGUGCCAGCAGUCGCGGUAAUACGUGGUAGAUUAGUGUUAUUCAUCUUUAAUAGGUUUAAAGGGUACCUAGACGGUUAAUUAAGCAUAUAAAUGUACUAAUUAUUAACUAGAGUUUAAUGUAAGAAGGAUUGAGUACGGUGAGUGUAGAGAUAAAAUUCUGUCAUACUACUUAGGAA
rnacentral:rRNA from 1 species